rnacentral:rRNA from 1 species
UACGGGGGGGGCAAGCGUUGUUCGGAAUUACUGGGCGUAAAGGGCGCGUAGGCGGGUGGACAAGUCUCUCGUUAAAGGCCACGGCUCAACCGUGGAAUUGCGGGAGAUACUGUCUGUCUUGAGUCCGGGAGAGGAGGGUGGAAUUCCCAGUGUAGCGGUGAAAUGCGUAGAUAUUGGGAGGAACACCGGUGGCGAAGGCGGCUCUCUGGACCGGUACUGACGCUGAGGCGCGAAAGCUAGGGGAGCAAACGGU